UCUCCGUAGGUGAACCUGCGGAGGGAUCAUUACUGAGUUUUUAACUCUCCAAACCAUGUGAACUUACCACUGUUGCCUCGGUGGUCGGUGCUGGAAACAGUGCUGCCACCGGUGGACUACUAAACUCUUGAUUUUACAGCGUCUCUUCUGAGUGGAUUAUACAAAUGAAUCAAAACUUUCAACAACGGAUCUCUUGGUUCUG
rnacentral:misc_RNA from 1 species